ACCGUGCAAAGGUAGCAUAAUCAUUUGUUCCUUAAAUAGGGACUUGUAUGAACGGUUAGAUGAGGGCAAAACUGUCUCCUACAGUUAAUCAAUGAACUUGAUCAUACAGUACAAACGCUGUAAUUUAUUUAUAAGACGAGAAGACCCUGUGGAGCUUUAAACUUCUACAUUAAAUUAAUUAUAACAUAAUGUAGAGUUUUAAGUUGGGGCGACUAUGGAGUAAAAAAGAACCUCCAUGAAUACACGACUAACCCUCGUCACAAAAGGCUAACAGGCCUAACCAAAAAGUUUGACCCAAUCAUAUUGUAUACCGAACCAAGUUACCCCAGGGAUAACAGCGCCAUCCCCUUAAAGAGUUCACAUCGCCAAGGGGGUUUAC
rnacentral:rRNA from 1 species